UACGUAGGGGGCUAGCGUUGUCCGGAAUCAUUGGGCGUAGAGAGCGUGUAGGCGGUCCGGUAAGUCCGCUGUGAAAGUCGGGGGCUCAACCCUCGAAUGCCGGUGGAUACUGGCGGGCUAGAGUACGGAAGAGGCGAGUGGAAUUCCUGGUGUAGCGGUGAAAUGCGCAGAUAUCAGGAGGAACACCUAUUGCGAAGGCAGCUCGCUGGGACGUAACUGACGCUGAGACGCGAAAGCGUGGGGAGCAAACAGG
rnacentral:rRNA from 1 species